rnacentral:rRNA from 1 species
CACGUAGGCGGAAGGGCAAGUCAGAUGUGAAAACCCGGGGCUUAACCGCGGGCCUGCAUUUGAUACUGCUUUUCUUGAGUACCGGAGAGGAUGGCAGAAUUCCUGGUGUAGCGGUGAAAUGCGUAGAUAUCAGGAAGAAUACCGGUGGCGAAGGCGACCAUCUGGACGGAUACUGACGCUGAGGUGCGAAGGCCGGGGGAGCAAACA